GGAUGUUGGGUUGUGUUCAUGCAGCUGGACUCAGGUCAGGAUUGUGACCCUUACUGCUCAAAGUAGUACAUUUUGAGCGAGAGAUGAGCAGGAGAGGAUAAAAGGGUGGAUUCAGAGGCCUAGCUGCACAGAGACCAGCGGUGGAGUGAUGUCAUGAACUACAGUGAGUGCAGGGAAAGCUGCUGAUUGCUAUAAUGGGAAUUUGUCCAAACCAAGCUGAAUCUGUGUGGUUAUUACUCAGAGUCACAUAGUUUCGAAGAAAAAGAAACAGAGCAAAACAUUCUGGAAAUGCACAACAAAGACC